rnacentral:tRNA from 1 species
UAGGGUGUAGCUCAGUGGUAGAGCACCUGCCUAGCAUUUGAGGCCCUGGAUUCUAUUCCCAGCACCACAA